UACGGAAGGUGCGAGCGUUAAUCGGAAUCACUGGGCGUAAAGCGCGCGUAGGCGGUUGCGUAAGUCGGAUGUGAAAGCCCUGGGCUUAACCUGGGAACUGCAUUCGAUACUGCGUGACUAGAGUAUGGGAGAGGGUAGCGGAAUUCCGGGUGUAGCGGUGAAAUGCGUAGAUAUCCGGAGGAACAUCAGUGGCGAAGGCGGCUACCUGGGCCAAUACUGACGCUGAGGUGCGAAAGCGUGGGGAGCAAACAGG
rnacentral:rRNA from 1 species